GAUGAACGCUGGCGGCGUGCCUAAUACAUGCAAGUCGAGCGAACGGACGAGAAGCUUGCUUCUCUGAUGUUAGCGGCGGACGGGUGAGUAACACGUGGAUAACCCACCUAUAAGACUGGGAUAACUUCGGGAAACCGGAGCUAAUACCGGAUAAUAUUUUGAACCGCAUGGUUCAAAAGUGAAAGACGGUCUUGCUGUCACUUAUAGAUGGAUCCGCGCUGCAUUAGCUAGUUGGUAAGGUAACGGCUUACCAAGGCAACGAUGCAUAGCCGACCUGAGAGGGUGAUCGGCCACACUGGAACUGAGACACGGUCCAGACUCCUACGGGAGGCAGCAGUAGGGAAUCUUCCGCAAUGGGCGAAAGCCUGACGGAGCAACGCCGCGUGAGUGAUGAAGGUCUUCGGAUCGUAAAACUCUGUUAUUAGGGAAGAACAUAUGUGUAAGUAACUGUGCACAUCUUGACGGUACCUAAUCAGAAAGCCACGGCUAACUACGUGCCAGCAGCCGCGGUAAUACGUAGGUGGCAAGCGUUAUCCGGAAUUAUUGGGCGUAAAGCGCGCGUAGGCGGUUUUUUAAGUCUGAUGUGAAAGCCCACGGCUCAACCGUGGAGGGUCAUUGGAAACUGGAAAACUUGAGUGCAGAAGAGAAAAGUGGAAUUCCAUGUGUAGCGGUGAAAUGCGCAGAGAUAUGGAGGAACACCAGUGGCGAAGGCGACUUUUCUGUCUGUAACUGACGCUGAUGUGCGAAAGCGUGGGGAUCGAACAGGAUUAGAUACCCUGGUAGUCCACGCCGUAAACGAUGAGUGCUAAGUGUUAGGGGGUUUCCGCCCCUUAGUGCUGCAGCUAACGCAUUAAGCACUCCGCCUGGGGAGUACGACCGCAAGGUUGAAACUCAAAGGAAUUGACGGGGACCCGCACAAGCGGUGGAGCAUGUGGUUUAAUUCGAAGCAACGCGAAGAACCUUACCAAAUCUUGACAUCCUUUGACAACUCUAGAGAUAGAGCCUUCCCCUUCGGGGGACAAAGUGACAGGUGGUGCAUGGUUGUCGUCAGCUCGUGUCGUGAGAUGUUGGGUUAAGUCCCGCAACGAGCGCAACCCUUAAGCUUAGUUGCCAUCAUUAAGUUGGGCACUCUAAGUUGACUGCCGGUGACAAACCGGAGGAAGGUGGGGAUGACGUCAAAUCAUCAUGCCCCUUAUGAUUUGGGCUACACACGUGCUACAAUGGACAAUACAAAGGGCAGCGAAACCGCGAGGUCAAGCAAAUCCCAUAAAGUUGUUCUCAGUUCGGAUUGUAGUCUGCAACUCGACUACAUGAAGCUGGAAUCGCUAGUAAUCGUAGAUCAGCAUGCUACGGUGAAUACGUUCCCGGGUCU
rnacentral:rRNA from 1 species